rnacentral:piRNA from 1 species
UAAUUGUUAAAUUUUUAGGUGUUUUAUAAGA